AAAGGGUGCGUAGGCGGCCUGUUAAGUCAGGGGUGAAAGACGGUAGCUCAACUAUCGCAGUGCCCUUGAUACUGAUGGGCUUGAAUUGACUAGAGGUAGGCGGAAUGUGACAAGUAGCGGUGAAAUGCAUAGAUAUUACUUAGAACACCAAUUGCGAAGGCAGGUCACUAUGUUUUAACUGACGCUGAUGGACGAAAGCGUGGGGAGCGAACAGGAUUAGAUACCCGUGU
rnacentral:rRNA from 1 species